rnacentral:lncRNA from 1 species
CGGCGGCCCAACCUCACCGGCGGGUCCCGACGGCCCAGGAGGGCCGCCGGCCCCGACGGCGCCCUCUGCACCGGGCGGCCCCGGCUGCCCCGCCACAGUAACGACAACGGGGCACACACCGGACCGCGUAUCGUUCUUGUGGCGAUUCGGCGACACCAUCGUUUUGGUGUCGCACGCGGCCAAGGCGCGCGCUUGCAUGUUCUGUGUCCCUCGCGGUUUCUUUCUCUUUGGUUCGAUGCCCC